CCAUUUCUACAUCCAUUUCGUGCAAAAAUAACUCUGACUCAGUCCGACACUCUCCAGAUGUAUCGACCGGUCACCAACACUGUAGCCAACCCGAGCCAAACCUCCGGAACACUACACAUUUACCAGUCAGAAGUGUGAAAUGAGUCUCGGCUGAGCCAGAAUUAUACAGUGGGGAGAGCGAGAUUCUCAUGCUGUUGACUGUUGUGGGUAGAUGGCGGUU
rnacentral:lncRNA from 1 species